CCUGCCGGCGGCGCUGCUGCUCCCCUCCCGCCCGUAGCGGCUAGCGCCGCUUCGCCCGCCCUGCUCUGCUCGCUAGCGGCCUGCGCUCCCGCUUCCCCAGCAGCCGGCGGCGUUCUCCCUCCGGGCGAGCUCGAGCUCCACCGAGGAGUAGCCUAGCCGGGGGUGGAUUUGGUGGCCAGUACAGGCGGCCGCGGAAGCUCGGCCACGCCGCCUAUCGGCCCCCGCCAGAGGCUACGCUCCCUUCAUCGCUGCACCACGGCUCGUCCGCGCGACGGCGGGCCGAGCUUGCCUUCCCCGCGCUCCUCUCACCCGUGCUCGUGGGUCCCGUUGUCGUGGAACACCGUGCUAUCGAGAGUCUGCUAGAUCUAUCGACGAUUUUUCUCUCUCGUCUUCUCGCUCCAACGUGGAUCUGUUGACGCAACCUGCUAUCGGCCCGUUGGACGUGCCCUAGGACUUUUUAAGUAAUCGCUCUUCCCCAGUCACACUCUUCUCCCCUCCCCGUCUCGCGCCUCGACGUCGGCGACCUCACCGCCGGCGACGCGGCGCGGCGAACCGGGCCCUUGUUCCACCGCAAUCGUCUUUCGCCAGGCGGCGUCUCCAACUUCCUCUACCCGCGCGGGUGGAGAUCCGUCAUUCGGAAGUCAGAUCGGUUUCUACUUUCGCCGGGGCAUAUGUUUUCCGGAGGGUUAGUUCUGUACCAUCUGCUACUGAACAUUUUGUCAGGACCACUCCUCUCAGUUCAGUGGUUAUGGAGCCUCCCAUGAUGCAUAAACCCAGUGCCGUGCCAAUCAACACUUCAGAGAAGGAAGUGGAGUUGCAAGAUAGAAAUGCUGAGUUAGCAAAGCGCAGGAGAACUGGAUUUUCAGGGUCCAUUGUCCAACCACAACAGGAAAGUGAAGUCUCUGACAUGGAGAAAAAUGUUCCUGAUGGUCUUCCAGUUGAAGUUUCUACUGGUGGCGAUCCCAUGGCCAUGGAUGUACUCACUGAUUGUGCGCUGCAAAACUCUGGUGAAGCGAAUGGUCACAGUGAGGGGCGCGUUCGUAGUAUCUCAUUUACAGGUAAUGAACCAGCAAGUCUGAGGCUGCGAAAAAUAUGUGCUGCAAUUGGCUGCAAAGAACCAUCAUUUGACUUUGAAAAACAAGGACCUCCUCACAACAUAUUGUUCACUUGCAAGGUGUCUGUCUGCUUAGAGGGAUUCGUCAACACUGUCAUAGAGUGCUUAGGUGACCCCAAGCCUAAGGAGGAAGAUACACAAGAACAUGCUGCUCAAGGGGCAUUGUGGUGCCUUGAGCGCUUUGGACAUACCAAGCAAUCUUAGGUUGUGUAUGCACCAUCCCAAGGAAGGCGUCUGCCAGCCCUUGUGCUCCUCUGACCAACCCUUGUUUCCGUUGCAAUAUGUACAUGGCUUUUUAACCAAAACGGAGGCAUCAGCAAUAUCUUCGGAGCUCGUCGAAGCUAUAAGUUCAACCUCCAAAAGCCACAUUUCUUUUUAUUUCCAUUUUUCAAAGGAAAAAAGAUAUUGUCAGCACCAUACAUCGCUGAUCGCACUUCAUUUACGGGAGUUGGAUAGGUAAAUCCUGCAGGUUGACGUUAUUCGUGUUCAUUCAGUUCCAGCUUCCUACUUGUAAGCGAUUAACUUUGUGGUGCUGCUCAUCACAACAAAGUAAGUAAUGUAUGCUCACAUAAAAAGGUAUGAAAAUUGGGCAUUUUUUUUAUUA